AGUAUUCCACCCCUUGAUGAUGACUUGAAGCGACAAGGCAAUUCCAGACGAUUCGAAAGUGAAGCAGCUGGGCGCCGGGAUUCUUUUCAGAUAUCGAAAGAACAAUGACUUCCAUCUACCCUAAGGCCUGAACCAACUUUCCCUCUCAACAUCUUCGUCACGAAAAUCUUCUCCAUCUGCCUCGAUCUUUUGAUCUGCAUCUCGUGUCGUUAAAGGGAGGAAAAGAGAAACUACGAGAUUUCACCAAACGUCGGCAGAGAGACGAAUAAAAACCGCUCAUUUUGAACGCGUGAGAGACGCAAACAACAACAAUACGAACGUUCUACACACACUUGGCUUGUAGGGCGAGUUCACAGCCUACACCGCAACGAUGACUGUGUCGUCGUCUUUGAAAAGCCAAUUAAACUAGGACCGUUACACAGUCUCAAAACAGUUCCAUAGACUUUACGCUCAAUUGAACUCUUUUUGGGUUUGUUUGGCCAAGGUCUAGUUGGCUCGUUUUUUGGGGUUGGCAGCACAGGCGACCUGGUCGUUCGGCAUAGAAAUUGGCCCGUGACCGAAAAGGGUAGGUUCCACGACAUUCACGAAAAACAAAUGAAAACAGCAAUGAGCAAUGCAUAGCAAAACAAGUAAAAACGUGGCAAAAGCUGCGUAAAGAUCCAGUUUCGAUUCGUUGAAUUUCUCAAACGAAAUGUCAAAUGAAGACGACAGUCAUUCCAAAACAAUGAUAAGAGGAAAAAACCGGUGGAUAUUACCCAUUUUUUUUACAUUUUAACAAUCUUUUUUCGGACUUUGGUGGUGUCACCUUUAUUUCUGUUGGUGACGCGACUCUGUUGUCUGAGAAACGGAAGGAAGGCACCGCUUUUUAUUACCCCCUGCAAGUAUUUUCCCCUUCCCCAAAGAAAUUGUCGUCUCAUCACUUUGUUGUCAUUGUUGUUUAUUUUGCCCUUCAAUGACAAAAGCUUCCUUGCAUUUAAUUCCAUUCCUGCAUACGUUCAUCAAACCCCUCCCACUUUUAUCCCUCAAACACAUAAAAGUUUAUUCUUCUUCCCACAGACAACUUCAUUUUUGCCUUUUUCAUGAAAAACAGAUUUUAAAAAAAAUUGUUUUGUUUCGUGAAAAGGGAAUUUCCGGUUUAUAAUAUACUCGUGACACGAUCAAAUCGUUCCACCGUGAAAAAACAACAAGAAAAGAAUGUCGUAAUGGGCUACUAAUGUGCUGUCGCAACGCGUUGUUCUUUUGUUUGACAAUAUGGUCGGCCAUCAUGCGAUCUUGAAUACAAAAAUUUCUGUUUCCAUAAUCCAAGGUAUUUCUGUUGAACAGCUUAAGAAGAAGAAAAAAAUAAACGCCCAGAUAGUUUAAUAUUUUCUAUAAAGCUAGUACGCCAUGCAGGUGACUUUCAAUUUAUUAAGAAACCCUCCCCCAUGCGAAUUCCCUACUGCAUACCAGUAUCGUGUUUCUGAAUCAUAGAUUUAGCAAACUGGAUUGAACAGGUUUAGAUGUUCGGAGAAACAAGGUAAUACUGAUAUGAAUGUUGACUGUUGCUAAACAUUUAUGUAAUUUUUUAGGGUUUAUUGUGGCUCUCUGCAAUCACUCCAUUGAAAAGUACGAGGAGAGCAAUUUGAGGGGAAUUUCCCAUAGCUCCUGAACGACACCCUUUAAUGUGUAUGAUAGUGGAUAGCACAAUUGUACACCUGUUAUCCAUCCAUCCGUUUGAGAAUAAAUGAUUUCUCCACAACAGGUUUUUCAAUUGGAGAAAAUGUGAUAGAAGAUAAAAUUCCAAUAAGUAAUGUCUUCCAUUCCAUUAGUUAAAAUGGUCCAACAUCAAACACCUUGAAAGUUCAAGAAACGAAACAAAAAACCAGUCAUAGCUCAUUUUUCUUUCUCUCUUUUUUUUUUACUUUGUUUUCCCGCUUUAUACAAAACAAAGCCCUGUGUCAGGUACGACGAGUCACCGGAGAUGAAGGUCUAACAAAAAACACACCUGCUUCCGCCACUUCAUCCAUGUCGUCAUCCCCCCCUUCACCAUCUCUUACUCAUUUGGCUAGAUAGCCGGAUGCACGUGGAAGGGUGGCUGCCGUAGUGUUCUACACGGCAUUGUAGAUGAUGGAAUACGUGGGAAUGAAAGAAGAAAAGAAAAAAAUGGCAGCACUAACAAUAUGAGAGCGUGACGAAUAACGACGAUGGAAUAAUUAUCUCGACUGUAUCCCCCCCCCCCUCUCUUUAUGCCUCUUGGAUAGAACUCUUCUAUAUUUAUAUUUUGAAUUUACGUUUCUUUUUUCUUUUAGGAAAAGAAAAGGAGAAAAGCCGUUGCAAUAGGAUCAGAACCGGGCUUCGGUUUGAAUUAUUCAACGCCCACCACCACCAUCACGACCACUCGUUCUCCUUGGGGAUUCAAAUCAGAUCAGAAAGAAAAAAGAAACGAAUGAAAAACAAGCCCGAUAAUGUCAAGGAUACAUGAGUCACGAGAUCGGUCCCGUGCGUUCAUUUAUUUCGCUUUUCUUCGAACGCGUUUUCCAAAUAACUGAAAGCUGAGAUACUGCUCAUUAUUGAACGAUUUGAUGGAGGGUUGGAGGGGCUUUCUCUUUCCUUCUCGUCCUAAAGUCGUGGCGUCGUAUGCGCCGUGGGGGGGAAUCGAGGUUCCCACGCCCAACAAGGUUUUGAACCUAACCCGGUAACACCACCAUCACUGCAGCCAGCCAAGGAGAACCAGAGGCCCGUAAGAAAAUUCGAAAAGGUAGGGCCGAUGGGGGGGAGAAAGGGUCAUCCUCUCUCUCGCCCAGGCACCAAAAGCUACACACGCAUAUACGCCAGGUGGGUGGAAAUGGAGGAGAAGGAAAAGAUGGAAAACAGGUAUGAAAACGGACGCCCUCUGGCCAGAAAGCCCUUAUACAGGUUAUAACAACGAAAGUAUCAGAGAGGAGGGCCGGGAAGACCCUCAGGUGAGUCUCCCUCGACUAUAAGAGUUGCCCUUUUUUCGUAUUUUUUUUUUUUACUAUUCUUUUUCCUCUUCGUUCCCUUCCCUCUCUCUCAUUCUUGGAGGAAACUAAAAAAGAAGCUUGUCACACUCACACACUUUUUUGUGUGUGGGGGAAGAUAAACCCAAAUCAACAUUGGCGAAAUGGUGGAAGAAAGAAGAAUAAGAAGAAAAACAGGUAUAUGGAAAAGAGAAUACGAAGCCGUACACCCCUGCUAGAUCUUCCAACUUCCGCCGAAUUCCCCCCAAAAAAAGAUAGGCCAACAUUCCAAACCGAUUUCUCAUCACAGCAACAAAACAUUUCCAGAUUUGGUGUACUUAAUCAUAUAAUCAAUAUACUUUAAUCAAAAGGCU